UAUCUGGGUUGAUGGUACUGGAG
rnacentral:piRNA from 1 species